rnacentral:rRNA from 2 species
UGGGGAAUAUUGCACAAUGGGGGAAACCCUGAUGCAGCAACGCCGCGUGAAGGAUGACGGUUUUCGGAUUGUAAACUUCUUUUCUUAGUGACGAAGACAGUGACGGUAGCUAAGGAAUAAGCAUCGGCUAACUACGUGCCAGCAGCCGCGGUAAUACGUAGGAUGCAAGCGUUAUCCGGAUUUACUGGGUGUAAAGGGAGCGCAGGCGGGACUGCAAGUUGGAUGUGAAAUACCGUGGCUUAACCACGGAACUGCAUCCAAAACUGUAGUUCUUGAGUGAAGUAGAGGCAAGCGGAAUUCCGAGUGUAGCGGUGAAAUGCGUAGAUAUUCGGAGGAACACCAGUGGCGAAGGCGGCUUGCUGGGCUUUAACUGACGCUGAGGCUCGAAAGUGUGGGGAGCAAACAGGAUUAGAUACCCUGGUAGUCCACACUGUAAACGAUGAUAGCUAGGUGUGGGGGGUCUGACCCCUUCCGUGCCGGAGUUAACGCAAUAAGCUAUCCACCUGGGGAGUACGACCGCAAGGUUGAAACUCAAAGGAAUUGACGGAGGCCCGCACAAGCAGUGGAUUAUGUGGUUUAAUUCGAAGCAACGCGAAGAACCUUACCAGGUCUUGACAUCCGACUAACGAGAUAGAGAUAUGUCAGGUGCCCUUCGGGGAAAGUCGAGACAGGUGGUGCAUGGUUGUCGUCAGCUCGUGUCGUGAGAUGUUGGGUUAAGUCCCGCAACGAGCGCAACCCCUGCCAUUAGUUGCUACGCAAGAGCACUCUAAUGGGACCGCUACCGACAAGGUGGAGGAAGGUGGGGACGACGUCAAAUCAUCAUGCCCCUUAUGACCUGGGCUACACACGUAAUACAAUGGCCGUUAACAGAGGGAAGCAAAGCGGUGACGCAGAGCAAAACCCUAAAAACGGUCCCAGUUCGGACUGUAGGCUGCAACCCGCCUACACGAAGUUGGAAUUGCUAGUAAUCGCGGAUCAGCAUGCCGCGGUGAAUACGUUCCC